rnacentral:rRNA from 1 species
UGAACGCUGGCGGCGUGCCUAAUACAUGCAAGUCGAGCGAACAGAUGAGGAGCUUGCUCCUCUGACGUUAGCGGCGGACGGGUGAGUAACACGUGGAUAACCUACCUAUAAGACUGGGAUAACUUCGGGAAACCGGAGCUAAUACCGGAUAAUAUAUUGAACCGCAUGGUUCAAUAGUGAAAGACGGUUUUGCUGUCACUUAUAGAUGGAUCCGCGCCGCAUUAGCUAGUUGGUAAGGUAACGGCUUACCAAGGCAACGAUGCGUAGCCGACCUGAGAGGGGUGUUCGGCACACCGGAACCGAGGCCCCGUCCAAAAUCCUAAGGGGAGGCACAGUUGGGAAUCUUCCGGCAUUGGGGGAAGGCCUGAGGGAGAAAGGCGGGGGGAGGAAGAAAGUCUUCCGAAUGGUAAACCCUUUUUAUAGGGGAAGACAAAAGGUGUAAGAACCUAGGACGUUUUGACGGUACCUAAACAAGAAGGCACGGCUAACUACGUG